UUGUAAUUUACAUACCGAUCAAAUAUGUCUGGACAUGGUAAAGGCAAGUCAUCAGCAGACAGAAGAAAUAGCACGGAAGAACCUAAAUCACCAGACGAUAAGGACAAAUCUGGAAAAGAAGUCAGCAGCAAAACUUCUGGAGAUAAACAAGAAGGUACCAUGGUAAAAAAUAUAAUGAUGGGAUGAAGAAGCAUAACCGUUGGAAGAAUUUGAAAUUUUUCAAAAUUUAAUAGUGACUUCUUAUUAUCUGUCUUCUAGUGUUUAAAAAGUUUUUAUAAUGAUACAAAGAUUUAAUAAAAUGAUUUCCCUUUA